rnacentral:lncRNA from 1 species
UCUGAAGCACUGCCAACAGAAGAUCAAAACCCAUCUGUGUUCGGAGAUUUUGCUCCAGAGCAAUACACCAUCUUCCGAGGAAUUCACGGAUCACGCUUUCUAAAUUAGAACGGGAAACAGGGAGCUGUUCAGAAAAUACAAAAGAAAAACCAACCGCCAUAAAAAGCCCACACAGACGGUGGCGUUGGUUGAAAUAGAAAGCUGCCACCCAGGAAACUAGGGAAGGGACUGCUUUAGGAGGUGACUACUGAGAGCCUAUCUGCCAUGAUUGAUAAAAAUCCUUUUUUACUUUACAUUAUAGUGAGAUCUUUUUAACCGCCCAUUAUUUAAAUUUGAAACCACCUCCCCAAGAGGGUCUCUUAUAAAAACGAAGGUAGGCAAGGAAGGGACGACACUCAAUUCAUCAAUCAAUCAAAAAAACAAACAACAAAAAAACAACCAAAAGCUCACUUGGAUUCCAAGAGAAACCAGCUUUAGAUCAGAAUUCCAAAGUUCAGACUUAGAAAAUAAGUCUUCUAAAACGAGAUCUCUCUCGUUACAAAUUUGGUUCAGCAAAAGCCAAGGAAAGCAGAGUUUGAGUUUUCACAAACGUGGAGACCUCAGCAAACUUAUAAAGAGUCCUGCUCAAGCAGAACAACGCUCGUAGUGCAAUCCCUAGCCUACCAGACCUUCGAGAAUAGCCACUUCUGCCCCUUCAAAUUGAAGAAGCUGCAGUUCUGCCCACUCAAAUGCCUCACGAAGCAUGAAGUAAACAUAAAGCUCUGCCAAAUCGAACUUUGGUAUCGAUUUAUAGCUUAGCCUAGCAUCUGAAGUCACGAAGCAGUAUGGACCGACCCAGGCGCGUCCAGUCCAGCCCAAGCCAGAGCCUUCCAUCCAAGCAGAAGCGGAGUUCCGGCCAUCUUUUAACCUUCCUAGGGUCGAUAUGCAUAUUUAUUGUUUUGUAAAAGGCAGUUCUGCCCACUAAAAGGCCACACGAAGCGUGAAGUAAACAUAAAGCUCUGCCAAAAUCGAACUUUGGUAUCGAUUUAUAGCUCAGCCUAGCAUCUGAAGUCACGAAGCAGUACGGACCGACCCAGGCGCGUCCAGUCCAGCCCAAACCAGAGCCUUCCAUCCAAACAGAAACGGAGUUCCGACCGUAUUUUAACCUUCCUAACAUCGAUAUGCAUAUUUAUUGUUUUGUAAAAGGCAGUUCUGCCUAAGACAGCCCAACUUCUAUCGAAUAUUUCUGGCCAGAACAACCAUUUGAUACUGAGAUAAAUUAUGAAAGUCCUCACCAGUCUGAGGCAAGAAAAGAACUUACUUGGGAGAUAUUCCUCACCCAAAUUCACAAUCAUUUGUUUUAGAAGUCAGUAACUUAGGGCGCAAGUUAUCCACUCUAAAAAGAAGUCUGCUAGGAUUUACAUCGCUAGCAGUGGCACGCUCACACACCAAAGAAAGCCGACUUGUCGACCAACCAAUGGUCUCCAAGCCAGUGGGGAACUUCGCCCUUCCACCUCAGGAGUAAACACGAAAACGGGUGAACAAUUUGGCACGCCCGGUGGGAUUUCUCGGUAUACAUACUCUGACAGAAUCAUUCACAGAUUUUCAAAUACCGGAAGAGCUAGCCAGAACCCACACCAGAUAUGGAGAGAAACAAGAUGGUUCUCAGGGAAGGCCUCGAAUCAGAAGAAAGCGAUGCUAGGCAAUCUGCCCACGGCAGUACAGGAAGUAGACGUUCCAGGACUAGCUCCAAAAGGAUGAAUCAAAUACAGGAGUCAGUACUCCGACAAGAAAUCACAGUACAAAGGAGCCAGGACACUCUCAAUAGCAUGACAGCCAUGAUGCAAUGGCAGGUUAACAGACAGUUCUGGAAGGACCGAGAAUCCGCCAUGGCCAGAAUCCCAAACUCGGAUCCUGUAAUCCAGCAGUUAGAUCUCCCUUAUGGCCCUCCGCCAGGACUAGCAUGGCCAUACCAGGAAAACCCCCUAGUUGCACAGAUAGCUGGAGUACCAAACCACAGAGAAAUUCAGGUUGGUCCGAGGGAAGGAGCCCUUCCUAAUCAAGAACACGAAGCCCCAGCCCGACCAGAUGACCUUGCACUAGCUCAGCAGAACCAGCCAGAACCUCAGCCCAUUCCACUUCAUGUGGCCCCGCAUGAUCAACCUUUGGCACUUCUGCCUGAACCACCAGCAGUAUUGCCAUAUAGACCCAGAAGGAUGGACCCUAAUCCAUUUCCUCUACCCGCAAGAGGGAGAAGAGGCAGAGGGGGGAAUAACCUUUUUGCUAAUCAUGACAGGAAUAGGCAGGGGGCAAACUGGAGGAAUCACCCAGACAUCGAAGAGCAGGAAGAGCGCAGGGAGGAAGCUCCACCCAGACCAUAUAGAGCAGAGCCUAGGAUCGAUUACGUCCAGCCAGAACAGGGACAAAAUCUUCCCCCUGUCAAUGCUCUGAAUGACAUAGGAGCAUUACAAAGAAUGAUCAGAGAAAUCAUGGAGCCCGAGGCUAGAAGAGGGGAAAGGCCUACUUACAGAAAGCCAUACCCAGCCUAUAUCGAUCAAAUACCGCUGUCUCCAGGUUUCAAAGUACCAAACUUCACCUUGUUCAAUGGGGAGGACCCCCAUGCUUCCUCAGUUGAACAUAUAAGCAGGUUCUCCGUCCAAUGCAUAGCUAUUGAGAACAACCCUCUGUUGAAAUUAAGGCUUUUCGGCAAUUCUCUCUCUGGACAAGCUUUCACCUGGUACACCAGCCUGCCAGCUAACUCUGUCCAAACAUGGAAGCAGAUGGAAAAUGUCUUCCAUGACUACUAUUACAGGAUUAAGCCAGAAGUCACCAUCAGUGAUCUAGCUGCCCUCUGCCAUGUGCUUUGAAGCAAGGUAUUAUCAUGAUGACCACGGUCCUUUCACUUUCCUUGGAGUCAACCAGAACGGCCGCCCCCAUGGUGUCACGGCCCAAAGACUCAUUGAAGAAGGUUUAGCCAGUUCUCUAGAAGACUGGAAUAGACCUUUUUGUGCUGAACUACCAGAACUCUGAUGUGUAGUCUCAAUCAACUGGAUAAGAAUCGAGCUGCAACAAUCCGAUCCAUCACAAAAAGAUUGUUGAUAUACUGGGAAGAAAGGAGGCUUUUCAUACAGAAUCCAGCCAUCAAUAUGGCAGAAUUCACCCAUGAAAGCAUAACGGAACAAGAGGAGGAAAUUUUACAGAAGGAAGUAUUAGAUUUUGCACCAGCAGCACUGGCUGACUCCCUGCCAGAAGUGGAGGAUCCUCUACAGGAAAUAAACUUAGGGACAGAAGAAGAUCCAAGGCCUACUUUCAUCAACACACUUUUGAAGGAACCACUCAAGACUGAACUCAUGGCACUGUUGCAGAAAUUCAGAGAUUGUUUUGCCUGGCAUUACCAUGAGAUGCCAGGAUUGGACAGGCAGUUAGUGGAGCACAAGCUGCCAAUUAAAGAUGGCUACCUUCCAGUUAAACAGGCCAGAAGAAGAAUGUCUAUGGACACGGAACUAAAGGUCAAAGAAGAGGUAGAAAGGCUGCUCAAGGCAGGAUUCAUCAGGCCAGCCGUCUAUGCCGAUUGGUUAGCAAAUAUUGUACCUGUUCUCAAAAGAAAAACAGGGGCAAUUAGAAUCUGCGUGGAUUACAGAAAUCUGAAUGAGGCAUCUCCCAAGGACGAAUAUCCUAUGCCAAUGGCAGACAUGCUAGUGGAUGGAGCUGCUCAUAACCAGAUGCUAUCUUUCAUGGACGGCAAUGCAGGUUAUAACCAGAUUAUGAUGGCAGAACAAGACAUCCACAAGACAGCCUUUAUGUGCCCAGGACAUAUAGGUGCUUUCGAAUAUACUGUAAUGCCUUUCGGUUUGAGAAAUGCGGGGGCCACCUACCAAAGGGCAAUGAAUUCCAUUUUUCAUGAUAUGAUAGGACAUUCCUUGGAAGUAUACAUAGAUGACGUGGUGAUUAAAUCCCCCGAGGAAGGAAACCACGUAGCGAGCCUGAGAAAGGCAUUCCUAAGAAUGAGGCAGCACAAACUAAAAAUGAACCCCAAAAAAUGUGUUUUUGGAGUCCAAGCAGGAAAUUUCUUAGGAUUCUUGGUCCACCAGAGAGGUAUAGAGGUUGACAGAAAUAAAGCAAAAUCCAUCAUAGAAGCCCUACCACCUCGAAACAAGAAGGAACUUCAGAGUCUCCUAGGAAAAAUCAAUUUUCUAAGGAGAUUCAUAUCCAAUUCUGCGGGAAAAAUCCAACCUUUUUCUUCCCUGUUAAGGCUGAAGUAGGAACAAACAUUCAAAUGGGAAGAACAACACCAACAGGCUUUCCAGGAAAUAAAGCAUUACCUCUCAAAUCCACCAGUUCUGUCCCCGCCAAAAAGAGGCAGACCACUCAAGCUCUAUGUAUCUGUAUCAGAAGUAUCCAUUGGAAGUCUGCUAGUUCAAGAUAACAAAGAAGGAAAGGAACAAGCAGUCUACUAUCUAAGCAGAACAUUAACAGAAGUGGAAAGAAGGUAUUCCGCAAUAAAAAGGCUUUGCCUGGCCUUGUAUUUCACUGCUGUAAAACUCAGGCACUACAUGCUGCCACAUACUAUCUACAUCAUUGCCAAGACAGACUUAAUCAAAUACAUGCUAACAAGACCAAUGCUGAGGGGCAGAAUUGGGAAAUGGACUUUGGCUUUGACAGAAUUCAUGUUGGUUAAUUUUAACAACAAUAUUAAAACCUUGCAAGUGCACAAAUCAAAUGAUAGUAUAGUAAGCAAGCAAGGGUCGAUCCCACGGAGAUUGUGAUCUAAAGAGAUGUUUUUCAAUGUCACGCAAUGAAAAUCAAAACAAAGGACUUCCAAACACACGCCAACACCAAGGGGGGUUUUGAUUUGUUUUUGUGAAUCAAACAAAAUAAGGAAAAGGAAACAAAAGAGAAUUUAAAUUAGAGUUUAAGAGAAAUUGGUUUAAAAUCAAUCAAGAACAAUAGCUAGGACUUACUAUCCACCUCCAAACAAUCAAUCAAUCCAUAAACAACAAUAGAUAAUCAAUUUCUAGCAAGCAUAUGAUGACGACACUCACAACAAGAUCAUGGCAUUUGACUCGAGUUGUAUGAUUCUCUCUUAAGUGUAUGUAAAGUGUAUGGCAUUUACAUCAAUACGUGUAUUCUUAAUUGAAAUCUAGUAUGGCAUUUACUCAAAUUAACAAUCAAGAAUCCAUUAAGAUCAAAGAGAAUAUGAGUGUCACAAAAACCCUAAAACAUGGCAUUUGUUAUUAGGAAUUCAAGAAUCGAUUUCUCAUAACUAGUUCUUAACCCAAUUAUUCGUUGCAAACAAGAACACAUUCAAUAUGGCAAUUGACCUAUGUUCUACAACAAUUUAAUUCCAAUACAUGCUUCUAAGUCAGCUACUCAAAGAAACAAAAUAUCAGAAUUCACAUAACAUAGAGAAACCGAAAUCAUCACGCUUGUAGAAACUAAAAAUCCAUUAAACUUGUUUAUAAAAUUGAAAUCAUGUUUAGGGCUUCAAGAUUAAGCCCUAACUAACAAGAAAUUAGUUACUCAUGGUCUUGGAUGAACUCAAAAAUAAAUACAUAAGAACUGAAAAUUAAAAGAAGGAAGGAAAAGAAAGAACUCGUUCGCAGCUUUCUCCUCUUGCCCGGUUGAUCUCUUUAGGACGUGAAUGCUUUUUUAUCAGGCCUUGGCUCGUCUUUUAUAUCACUUAUAUCAGAGUUCUAAACCCUAAAAUUGACUGAAAAGUCGUCCGAGAAGUCUUGGUAAACAAGGAAUCCAAAUAGGAAAGUAAAAAUCACAAUUCCUAACUCCACUGGGAAAUACAGCUCAGCCCAAUGUUCACACGAUUUGGGGAUCUUCGACCUUGUAGAAAAAUCAUUAAAAAUAUAUUUUAGAAAGAUAAAUGUCUUAUCUUUCCAACCAUAUAUAGCACGUAACUUGAAAAAUUCGGAAAGGCUUCCGUUUCUUCACAUUCACGUAACAUGUACGAAACUGUCCUGUCUGCACGUGGGCUAACUUUUCUUGUAAUACUGUACCAAUUGGCUCGGUAGAAAAUUCUAGAAAAAUCAUAGAUUGAACUUCAAGAUGUUAGCUUUCAUCUCCAAUUGGUCUUGCGCUAAAAUUCCUCCGAAAAGUUGAUUUUCCCUUAAAAACCUUCUAAGAGCGCAGAAAAGCUGAAAAUCAGAAAAAUAAAGUAAUAAGCCCUUUUUAAAUCUAAUUCUCUUACAAAACCAAAGUAAAAAGAGUACAUAAAUGAGUAUAUUUAUGGACUUAUCAAUUCACCUUCAGGUAUGUCCCCCAGAAAGCUGUCAAAGGGCAAACUGUGGCAGACUUCUUAGCAGAUCACCCAAGAGAGGAAAUUGAAAACAUGGAUUCUUUGGACAUAGCAAAUGCAGAUCUGCUAACUAGAGCUCAUGUUUGCCUUAACAAUCCAAUCUAUUCGAUUCAUCUCACACCUUGAAAAUUAUAUUUUGAUGGAUCAAAGACAGAUAAGGCUUCAGGAGCCGGGAUUGUUCUGGAAGAACCAUUAGGGGUCAGAUAUUGCUAUUCCUUCCAGUUAGAUUUCCAGUGCACCAACAACAGGGCCGAGUAUGUAGCUUUGAUUAUAGGGCUUGAGAUGUUGGUAGAAUUAGGAAUCCAAUCCGUGGAGAUCUUGGGAGAUUCCAUGCUUGUCCUAAAACAGAUUGCUGGAGAAUACAAGUGUCUAAAUCCUUCUCUGGCUGUAUAUCUAGUAGCAGCUAGAAAUCUGCUGACAGAAUUUAGAGAAGCUACUUGGGAACACAUCCCAAGGGAGGAAAACUUUGCAGCCAAUGAACUGGCUCAGGUGGCAUCAGGCAUACAAAUGCCCGAAGACUGCAUCCAAAGGAUCAUCAAGAUAGGAAGGAAAAGUCUACCAUCUGUUUUGACUAGAGGGAUGGAGAUAGAAGUCAAUUCUGCCUUAAUCACUGAAGAUGAUUGGAGGGAGCCUAUCAUGACUUACUUAAGAUAUCCCACUCUGCCCUCUAAGAAAAGAGUCAGAAUCAUGGCUACGAACUACCUCAUGUGGAAUGAAGAUUUGGUCCGAAAAAGUAAGGAUGAGGUGCUAUUAAGGUGCCUCAGGAAGACAGAAUAUAUGAAAGUCAUGGGAGAAACCCGUGAGGGGAUCUGUGGAGCUCACCAAGGGGGAAGAAAGAUGUGCUGGUUAAUCAGAAGGUAUGGCUACUUCUGGCCAACCAUGAUGAAGGAUUGCAUCAACUAUUCCAAGGGAUGUGAGGCCUGUCAAAGGCACGGCCCAAUCCAGCAGGCUCCUUCGAUUCCCAUGAAUCCAGUGGUAAAACCAUAACCUUUUAGGGGAUGGGCAAUGGAUCUCAUUGGCAAAAUCUAUCCAACCAGCAGCCAGCAACACUGUUUUAUUAUUGUUGCCACAGACUAUUUCACCAAGUGAGUAGAGGCCAGGCCAGUAAAAACCACAACAUCUCGAGUAGAGGCCAGGCCAGUAAAAACCACAACAUCUCAAGAGAUCAUCACCUUUAUAGAAGAAUAGAUCAUACAAAGGUUUGGCAUUCCAGAAUCAAUCACAACGGGUAGGGGUUCUUCUUUCAUAUCUAGGGAUAUGCUAGAUAUGGCAGAAACAUUCAAGUUCAAACUACUUCAAUCUACUCCUUACUAUGCUCAAGCUAAUGGACAGGCAGAAUCAAGUAACAAGGUGAUUAUCAAUAUCAUCAGAAAGAUGCUGGAAAAGAAUCCAAAGCAGUGGCAUGAGAAGUUAUCAGAGACUUUGUGGGCAUACAGAACUUCAAAAAUAGAAGCAACUGGCAUGACCCCCUAUGCUCUAACCUACGGCCAUGAUGCAAUUCUUCCCAUGGAGAUAGCAGUCCAGUCUCUUAGAAUUGCUCAUCAGCACGGUCUCACUGGGGAGGACUACUCUCAAGCCAUAUUGCUGGAAUUGGAAGAAUUGGAUGCAAGCAGGAUUGACACCCUCAACAAACUCUUAGCAGGAAAACAGGCUGUGUCGAGGGCCUACAACAAAAGAGUCAGAAACAAGAGUUUUGAAGAAGGAUAAAUAGUCUGGAAGGCAAUUCUGCCCCUCGGAGCACACAUAGCUGGAUAUGGGAAAUGGUCACCUACAUGGGAAGGCCCUUUUGUAAUUAACCAGAUCCUCGGAAUGGGGGCAUACAGGUUGCAGGACCGAGAUGGAGUUAUUCAUGCUGCCCCCAUCAACGGCAAAUGGUUAAAGAAAUUCCAUCCAACCAUGUGGGAUUCGCAGGCUGUACAGACAGAUCCCGGGAUAGAAGAGGAACAAGACUGACCCCUUUUUGUUUCUUGAAAAGAAUUUUGUUUGGAGCUAUUUUUGCUUUAAAGUUAUUUUAUUUUUGCUUUCAGUACUGUGUCCGGUUAUUGCAUCAAGAGUAAAUGAAAAGCAGUGAAAUGCUAUUUAAGGGCAACAAAUGAACAAGCUUAUAUAAAAAAUAGCCACCCUCGCGGCAAAAUUGUUCAAACAAUAAAGAAGCUAAAAGUAGAAAAGACUAAAACCCUAGUUUCCUAAGGGUUUCCUGCAGGUUCGCCUUCUUGACAGAGAGCUCUUUCUGGAGCAGCACCCCCUGAUGAAGUGAAGCCUCUGCAAUUUCCAAGGCUGGCCUGGAAGCUGCAACCAUGCUUUGCACAAGGAAGGUAGCCUUGAUCUUGGAACUCAAUCCAGCCCCAAGCCUGCUAUGCACCUCCCUGCACUCCGCCAGUUGUUUUUGGAGCUCUUCAAUUUGCUUCUCCAGCUUGUCUGCGGUAGCCCUGGCUUCCUUGUAUCCUGCCACCAUCUGGUCCAGUUCUGCUUUCUGCUUUGCAAAAUCAGCCAGGUUGGCUUCAUGAGUGGCCUUGCAGAACUCAGAAGUCUUGAAGGUGGGCCUAAGAUCCUCGUAACGAUCAUGCAAGUUGAGCACAUCUCUGGCCAAGCUUAGGCCCAUCUCAAGAAUAGGCUUCAGAGCCAUGUUCUGUCUGUGUAGCAGGUCCAAGUCUUUCAUCAGCUGAUCAAAGACUUCCUUAUCUUGGUCAAACUCCAGCUCAGUGGACUACCAGAUUUUCAACCUCUCCAUGGCUUCCUCCACUGCCCUAGAUUUUGCCCUGCCUGGAGGAGAGCUGAGUUUCUCCAAUCUAUCCAAUUGAGCAUCCAGAUCCAUGGCUUCAAACUCUUCCAGUUCUGGAUCAGCAAAAGAAGCCGUGGAUGAUCCUGGAAAGGAAUGAAUAGGCAUCUGCAGAAGAAAGCAUAAGUUAAGACCAGGCAGAAAGUGGAAAAUAAGGGGCCUAAAGGUUAUGAAAGCUUACAGCAACAAUGGAGGCUUCAGGGGGCUGGUCACCGCUGCCAGGACGCCAACAGCUUUAGGCACUUCUACCUGGAAAGGCUACGAUAGUUAAAAAGGAAGAACAAGGCAGAAUUGCAGGAAAAUAUGAACAGGUAAGGAGGAAAAUUACCACAACCACAGGAACAGCGGCAGUUGUUUCCACCUCAGCCUCCGGAACAACAACAGACAGUUCUGCCUGAUCCACAGGCUCUGAUGCAGAAUGCUCCGCCUGAUUCUCAGCCGCUGGAGCGGCAGUAGAGUGCUCUGCCUCGGCAUCCUCAAAUAAGGCCAGUUCUGAGCUAGUCAGCUCAGCCCUUGGACCCCCUUGUUGCCUAUGCGCUAAGGCAAUGCUCUCUGCAAUCACCUCAGCAGGGAUCUCCUCCUACAGAACAGGGGUCAGAACAGAAGGAAUGGGGCGAAAGGGGAACUGAUACAAGUCACAGAAAUAAACCUCACCUCUCCUUCCACCAUUGUUGUUUUUUCCUGAGGCACUCCUUCCAACUCUUCCAGCUCUUUUUCCUGCUCCACCUCCUCAAAAGCCUCUCGCAGCUCUUCAUCCGUCCCAGAAGUAGUGGUAGGGACUGCUGCGGUUUCUUCUAUGGCAACAUACUCCACUUCACUCCUCUUUUUAAGCUUUUUCAACUUAGUAGGAGGAGGGGAAGGACUUUCAGCUGGACAGAACAAAAGCAAAGAUUAGGAAAAAGAAGGCAAGCCAGAAUAAGUGUGAAAGAAAUAGCUGGAACAUCACGAGCUUACCUGAAAUGCCAGGCCGCGUGGUAUUGUCCGGAGGAGAGACAUGUCCUUUUCUUUUUCUUCUGCCAGAAAGAGCGGCCUCGGCAGGGGUUUGUUCCACCUGGACCUCAUCUUCUUCAUCUGCAGAAGGAAGCUCCAAGUCCCCGGCGGCAAUAACAGAAGAGACUGCACCAAGGAGUUAGAGAUUAGAAACCAAUCCAGCAGGAAAAGACAGAAGAAAAUUAAAAAGGAAAACUUACCGAUCACUUCUCCAGCCUGAACAGACUGCCCACCUACGUCGUUUGUCAGAGAAGGAUCUGAUAUAGGCAGAAUAGACAUUAGAAAUCGAUCAUCAAGACAGAACAAAUCCCAGACAGAAUCUGAAAUCUACCUUCUAUGACUUGUGCAUUGGUAUCUUUGAUAGUCUGGACUAUGUGCGUUCCCCAUCCGCAAAAAUGAGCCAGUUUCCCCAACCGUCAAAAAGCACCUUGAAGGCAGUGACAGAAGCAGGCAGACCUUGGAAUCUGGCUUUCCACCAGGCGUCAAAGUCAGCAGAACUGCAGGAAUUCAGCUCCCACGAGGGAUAGAGGGCAUCCGUGCUGUUGUUGAUUUUGUUCACUGCACACCGGGCAUCCUUGUGCACCUCCAGAUCAUCUGCAUCCCUCCAAGAGGAGGCCCAGUUACAACUCCGAUAUGAUUUCAGUGGAAUGAGCUGAGGACAGCCAAGCUGCCUUGCACAGAAGUUGGGAUAAUAGACUUCUGCCCCCAGAUGAUAAUUUGGAGGUUUGCCCCCACCGUGGGGCAGAUCUUGGGGCAGAGUAAUGCUCAGAAAUUUCUUCCUGAAGUCUGUUCUGGCAGCCUCGUCUUCUGGCUCCUUCUCGAACAACCGAAAUCCGGUCUGGAACCAAGGAUAGGUCCUUUUGAUUGCCACUUGCCACUGAGCUGCCGACCUUUUUGUACAAUGCCUAAAGAGCAUCAAGUACUCCUCAAUAGAAUGCUUGGGCACUUCUGCCGAUAUCAGAGGAAGGGCCAGGACUUGGUCUUCAGGCAGAACUAUGUCUGGGAACCUUAGCUCUGGAAAAUAGACCUGCAGCCAGAUCUGGAUCAUCCAGAAUGCGCCAAGGGCCGACAGGUUCAGUGGAUUCUCCAGGGUUGCAGUGUGCAGAUUCUUGAAAAGAUGAGCCAGAACUGUAAGGCCAAGUCCCACAUCAGUGUGAUUGUGAAGCGCUUCUGCCAGAUGUCUGUACUCAAGUAGAACUGCCGAAGACCGAUUGGGGAAAACGAACCGAUUCAGCCAAUACAAAAGAAAGAACAUGUGUUGCUGAUCCUUGUCCUUCUCAGCACUAAAUUUCUUCAGAUAAUUAGAGAAGGAGCAGUUCUGGUUGAUCGUGGCCGGAGAGAUAGUGAAGGGAGUGGCCACUUUUUCUUGAUUUUUUCGCCUGUGAUAAUCUCCAACAGCAUCAACAGGCCUGCCAUGGGGCCUGAACCCAAAGAUCUGGGCCAUAUCCAGCAGGGUUGGCGCCAUAGGACCCACACGGAAAUCAAACGUGUUACUGACAGAAUUUCAGAAGCACAAGGCAGCAGCAAGCAGGUUCUCAUCUCUGUUAAUCGACUGCUUGGACAGGAGAAUGGCGUCAUAAAUCCCGGCUCUCCUCCAAUGACCCCCAUACCUCGGGAGAAGCCUGUCAAUCCAGUCUGCCCAUUUCACCUGACUGUUCCUCACCUCGCUGGACGGGAAAGACCGGCUCAAAUUCUUGCUAACCCAAGAAUAAGAAGCCAGAGCAGAAGUACUCUCAAAGCAUAAAGGAGCCUCGGCAUCCUUUUUCAGCAACUCUGCCAUCUCAGCCGGAACAGGACCAAACCAGUGAGGCCCUAACACCAGGGUAUUCUCAAACAAAUGAAGGACAUUCUCGUCCAGGUUCCUUCGGGCAAAGGGAUGAAGCUUGCUCCUGACUUCUAUUGCAUGAGCAUCAAUCCCAGUCCCAGUAAUGUAAUCGGGAGAAACUAGAGCUGAAGAAGACUGAGCACGAGACCUUGGGGAAGACAUUUCUGAAUCAAAAGAAGAAGCAGAGAGAGAAUGAAAGAAACGGGAGGUCCGAAGGAAACAAUGGAAAUCCCGAAGAAAAGCUUGAAAGAACAGAGUCGGAAGGGUUAGGUUUUUCAGAAGCGAUGGAUUUGAAUUUCUUUGAAAGAGAGGCUCGAAAACGUGGGAAGAGGAAGAUGGGACGGCACCUGAUGAUUAUUAGCUAGUAACUAGCUAAUAAACUAGCCGUUUUCCCACGAACUCUAGUUCGUGGUGGCAGACGUGGGCUAAAAAACGGAAAAGACUGGCGCGCAAAGUAAUGGCACAAGCAUUAAGUCUGAAACCGUUCCAGUUCCAAAACGAUUCAGACUUAGGGGGCAUUGUUUGGGCCUAAAUUUGGCACGCCAAAGUUCAAAAGACAGGCCCAUGGUGAAAUUACCUGCCCAGCCCAAAAAACUUGAGGGUAACAAAAUUAGGAUCCAGACAGGUUGGGCUUCAGGCCAGAAUGUCAAAAACAAAACCCCCAGCCCAAGAAAGACCAACGUGGAAACUGUCAUUUGGGCUUCAAGGAUCAGCCCGUAAUUUUUGUUGGGUUCAAACCCAAGGGAUUAAAAACAUACCCACGUGACUACCUCAGCUUUGAAAAGUCAGCAAUUCCAACUAAAAUAAAAAAUGAGAGGGACAUCUCUGAAGCACUGCCAACAGAACAUCAAAACCCAUCUGUGUUCGGAGAUUUUGCUCCAGAGCAAUACACCAUCUUCUGAGGAAUUCAUGGGCCACACUUUCUAAAUUAGAACGGGAAACAGGGAGCUGUUCAGAAAAUACAAAAGAAAAAUCAACCGCCAUAAAAAGCCCACACAGACGGUGGCGUUGGUUGAAAUAGAAAGCUGCCACCCAGGAAACCAGGGAAGGGACUGCUUUAGGAGGUGACUACUGAGAGCCUAUCUGCCAUGAUUGAUAAAAAUCCUUUUUUACUUUACAUUAUAGGAGAUCUUUUUAACCGCCCAUUAUUUAAAUUUGAAACCACCUCCCCAAGAGGGUCUCUUAUAAAAACGAAGGUAGGCAAGGAAGGGACGACACUCAAUUCAUC